AGUGAACGCUGGCGGUAGGCCUAACGCAUGCAAGUCGAACGGCAGCACAGUAAGAGCUUGCUCUUACGGGUGGCGAGUGGCGGACGGGUGAGGAAUACAUCGGAAUCUACUUUUUCGUGGGGGAUAACGUAGGGAAACUUACGCUAAUACCGCAUACGACCUGCGGGUGAAAGCAGGGGAUCUUCGGACCUUGCGCGAUUGAAUGAGCCGAUGUCGGAUUAGCUAGUUGGCGGGGUAAAGGCCCACCAAGGCGACGAUCCGUAGCUGGUCUGAGAGGAUGAUCAGCCACACUGGAACUGAGACACGGUCCAGACUCCUACGGGAGGCAGCAGUGGGGAAUAUUGGACAAUGGGCGCAAGCCUGAUCCAGCCAUACCGCGUGGGUGAAGAAGGCCUUCGGGUUGUAAAGCCCUUUUGUUGGGAAAGAAAAGCAGCAGGUUAAUACCCCGCUGUUCUGACGGUACCCAAAGAAUAAGCACCGGCUAACUUCGUG
rnacentral:rRNA from 1 species